rnacentral:rRNA from 1 species
AUUGAACGCUGGCGGCAGGCUUAGCACAUGCAAGUCGAGCGGAGAUGAGGUGCUUGCACCUUAUCUUAGCGGCGGACGGGUGAGUAAUGCUUAGGAAUCUGCCCAUUAGUGGGGGACAACAUUCCGAAAGGAAUGCUAAUACCGCAUACGUCCUACGGGAGAAAGCAGGGGCUCUUCGGACCUUGCGCUAAUCGAUGAGCCUAAGUCGGAUUAGCUAGUUGGUGGGGUAAAGGCCUACCAAGGCGACGAUCUGUAGCGGGUCGGAGAGGAUGAUCCGCCACACUGGGACUGAGACACGGCCCAGACUCCUACGGGAGGCAGCAGUGGGGAAUAUUGGACAAUGGGGGGAACCCUGAUCCAGCCAUGCCGCGUGUGUGAAGAAGGCCUUAUGGUUGUAAAGCACUUUAAGCGAGGAGGAGGCUACUGAGACUAAUACUCUUGGAUAGUGGACGUUACUCGCAGAAUAAGCACCGGCUAACUCUGUGCCAGCCGCCGCAGUAA